rnacentral:rRNA from 1 species
GACGAACGCUGGCGGCGUGGAUUAGGCAUGCAAGUCGAACGGUAUCAUCCUUUCGGGGGUGAGAGAGUGGCGAACUGGUGAGUAACACGUAGGUUAUCUACCCUCAAGACGGGGACAACCCAGGGAAACUUGGGCUAAUACCGGAUGUGAGCAACUUUUAGUUGUUUGAAAGGUGGCGUAAGCUGUCGCUUGGGGAUGAGCCUGCGUCCUAUUAGUUAGUUGGUGAGGUAACGGCUCACCUAGGCAAUGAUAGGUAGGCGGCCUUAACGGGUGGUCGCCCACACUGGGAUUGAGAUACGGCCCAGACUCCUACGGGAGGCAGCAGUCGAGAAUAGUCUACAAUGGUCGGAAGACUGAUAGUGCGACGCCGCGUGAACGAUGAAUCCCUUCGGGGUUAAAGUUCUUUUAUAUGUGAGCAGUGCUUCUUAUAUUAACGUAUGGGGAAGAGAUAUUAGCAUAUGAAUAAGCAAACGGCUAAACUCCGUGCCAGCAGCCCG